rnacentral:rRNA from 1 species
UACAGAGGGUGCUAGCGUUGUUCGGAAUCAUUGGGCGUAAAGAGCGUGUAGGCGGCCAGGUAGGUCUGCUGUGAAAACUCGAGGCUCAACCUCGAGACGUCGGCGGAAACCAUCUGGCUAGAGUCCGGAAGAGGAGAGUGGAAUUCCUGGUGUAGCGGUGAAAUGCGCAGAUAUCAGGAAGAACACCCGUGGCGAAGGCGGCCAGCUAGACCAGUUCUGACACUGAGGCGCGACAGCGUGGGGAGCAAACAGG